UACGUAGGGGGCUAGCGUUGUCCGGAAUCAUUGGGCGUAAAGCGCGCGUAGGCGGUCAGGUAAGUCCGGUGUGAAAGUCAAAGGCUCAACCUUUGAAUGCCGCUGGAUACUGCUUGACUUGAGUCCGGAAGGGGCGAGUGGAAUUCCUGGUGUAGCGGUGAAAUGCGCAGAUAUCAGGAGGAACACCAAUGGCGAAGGCAGCUCGCUGGAACGGUACUGACGCUGAGGCGCGAAAGCUAGGGGAGCAAACGGG
rnacentral:rRNA from 1 species